rnacentral:lncRNA from 13 species
CUUAAACAACAACAACAACAAAGAAGUGUGUGCAAACCUCUAGACGCUUAAGCCAACAUGGUCUAGCUGACGCCUGCAAGGGGAAGGGUUCACCCAACUUGACAAACCUGAGGCCUGCAUGAGCACCAAGGCACCCAGGGGUCAUCUGACUGCUGUGACCAAGCCAGAGGCCUCAACCAUUCCCUGGACACCCCUAGAAGCAGAGAUGCUAAAGCAGGUACCCUGCUCUUUGUUAACAGUGGGUGGGUGAGGAAGUUUUCAAGCUUGGCUUUGAUGAAACUGAAAAGGUUGAAUCAUUAUUAAAUGUUUAGAGAAUGGGAAGCUGGCAUCCAGCCCUGUGUUUUCUGUAAUAUCAAUUAUUCCCAGAGAACGCCGCUGCUUGUUGGGCUGGGAAAUAUCCAAAAAGAGGGAAGUAGAACCAGCUCACCUCUAAACUGCAGAAAUAAUAUUGCCACAGUAAGAGACUAUGUGGGUGGUCUUAAGAAAGACUCAGGGAAGCAGUGGGGAGGAACAACACCAACUAGGUAGGGGAGCUGGGAAGAACAGAGAUGACAAGAGGGCAGGUAACCCACAGGAGAGCUGCUGCCUGCCCUCCCAUAAGUGAUGAGACAGACAUCCAAGAAGUUCCCAUUCUGUGAAUAGUGCUGGCCUGUAAAUUACUGGACUAUCUUCACAUCUCUGGGAAAAGAGUGUAAUUACUGUUUUUGUCCCAAGAAAUUCUGGUCCUGUGCGCACCCACAAUUUCCCAUCUGCAUAUGCACGUCUUCUUACCGUGGAUCUCCAGCUCUUUAGCCAGUCCCUCCCUAAGUCCAGUCAGUUUGCCAUCCCGCCAUCCAAACAUUUCUCUGGAACAUCUUAACACUUCAUCGUCACGUCCACUUCAGCCCAGAUGGAACAGCCUCUUGAAUGGGCUCUCACCUAGACAAAGGCAACAGCUUCUGAUCUCUCUACAAUCAGACCUUCACAGCCAGAGAGAAUCUUCCAAACUCUGACCAAGGAAUCCUGGCCUGCUCAGAACCAUUCAAUUACUUUCAACAUAAUGACCCAGAAAUCAUCAAAAAGCCCUAAAAGGUAUGCUCUGGCCAACUUCUUCUCUCUGCUUCGGUGCUGAGUGUUUCCAUGUCCCUGAAAAUAUCACACUCCUUUUUGCACACGUUACACCUUUAAUCUGGAAGAUUCCUCACACACUCUGCAAUUUCACCCUCUGGCUGUCAUUUAUUUUUCAUGUAAUUUCUGCACAGGCAACACAUUCACAGUAUUCAUAAAUCCAAAGUCUAACGUCCACAUAGAAUAAAUUAUCCAUCCCACUCUGCCCGGAGCCGCCC